UGCACCCAGGUGAAACAAACAGCCAUGUUGCUCACACAAAGCCUGUUUGGUGGUCUCUUCACACGGACGCGCAUGAAAUUUGGUGCCGUGACUCGGAUCGGGGGACCUCCCUUGGGAGAUCAAUCCCCUGUCCUCCUGCUCUUUGCUCCGUGAGAAAGAUCCACCUACGACCUCAGGUCAUCAGACCGACCAGCCCAAGAAACAUCUCACCAAUUUCAAAUCCAGAGCUUGCUACACAUGCCGGAAAUCUGGCCACUGGGCCAAGGAAUGCCGACAGCCCGGGAUUCCUCCUAAGCCGCGUCCCAUCUGUGUGGGACCCCACUGGAAAUCAGAUUGUUCAACUCACCUGGCUGCCACUCCCAGAGCCCGUGGAACUCUCGCCCAAGGCUGUCUGACUGACUCCUUCCCAGAUCUUCUUGGCUUAGCUGCUGAAGACUGACACUGCCGGAUCGCCUCGGAAGCCCCCUAGACCAUCACGGACGGCGAGCUUCGGGUAACUCUCACAGUGGAAGAGUGGGUGUACCAGUUCACAAUCCCAAUAGAAAUGAUGUAAGAAGCAGGACACAACUCCAGAGGUGGGGCUCAGACACGGAACCAGAUUGAGGACAAGUUAACACAGGGCCUGGUAAGAAGCAGUUUUCUAAUUAGACAUGCCCACCAAUGUGCCAUGUCAAUUUAUCAUUCCAAUGGCAACACCCAGCUUUUACCGACUCUUUACAUGGCUAUGACCCAAUGACCCAAGUUACUACCCCUUCCUUAGAAAAUUCUGCAUAAACCACGCCUUAAUCUGCAUGCAAUUAAAAGUGGGUAUAAAUAUGACUGCAAAGAUGCCCUGAGCUGCGGUGGUCUGCCUACUGGGUAGCCAUGCUCUGCAGGAGCAGUCGUGGAGCUGUAACUCCGUCAGACUGUAACACUGCCUCUUCAAUACAACUGUUUUCUUCUACAUCUGGCUUGCCUUUGAAUUCUUUCCUGGGCAAGGCCAAGAACCCUCACAGGCUAAACUCCACUUUGGGGCUAGUUUGCCCUGUAUGAGAAAUGUUUGAGUCCAGUUCUUCUACAUCCUAACUCACAUUUGACACUGGCAUUGAUUUUUUAUGUAUUUAUCGAUUUUGUUCUGUAUUGUUUUGCCACUUGGAUAGGUGUGUAUGCCUGGUUCAUUUUGAUUACUGUAAGUAUGGUUCAUUUUGGGUUUCUCCAGUGUCUGAUGAUGUUGAACAUCUUUGCAUGUGCUUACCUGCCCCUGGGACAUCUUCUUCAAUGAAAUGUAUCUUGCUGUUUUUUGCUCAUGUCAUAAUUGGGUUGUUUUCUUCUGAGAAUUCUUUACAUAUUGUAGAUACUAUCCAUUUGUCAAAUACAUGGCUAGCAAACAUUUUCUUCCCAUAUGUAGCUUUCUUUCACUCUUUAUAGAGUGAAAUAUUUAGAUUUCAAUGAAGUCCAAUUUAUCAUUUUUCCCUUAUGGUUCAUGCUUUUGAUGUAAACAAUAAGGAUUCUGUCCAUCAUAGAUUCCAAGUAUUUGUUCUAUAUUUUUAGCUACAAGUUUCACACUUUUAUAUUUUACAUUUAAUCUGUGGCUUAUUAUGAGUUAAAUUUUGUAUAAAAUGUGAGAGGUUUGAAGGUUGAGUUCUUAUUUAUUUUUUACUUGCCUUUUUUUUUUUUUUAUCUGUAAGUGUUCAAUUGCUUGAGAACCAUUAUUUGAAAAUGUUAUCUUUUCUGCAAUGAAUUGCCUUUGGAACUUUGUCAAAAAUUAGUUAGGGGUAUGUUUGUGGAUUUAGUAUAUUUGGGCUUUUUGUUCCCUUCAAUUAAGCUAUGUAUCUAUACCUCCACCAAGACUAGACUAUAUUAUUACUAAUAGCUAUAUAGUACUUUACGUUGAGUGGGGUAAUUUUUUCUACUUUAUUUUCCAUUAUCAGGACUGGUGUGGCUAUUCUAGUGACUGUGACUUUCUGUGUAAAUUUCAAAAUAUUUUUGUCUUUUGUCUACAGAAAAAACCCCUUGCUGGAAUUUUGGUAGCACGUGCCUAAACCUAUAGAUCAACUUGGUAGAAUUAAUGUCUUUACUUUGCCAAGUCUUUCAAUCUAUUCACCCAAUAUAUCUCUUCAUUUAUUUAGCACUUUGAAAAUUUCUUUCAUCAUUAUUUUGCAUUUUUCAACUGACAUUUCCUGUAUAUGUUUUAUUAAGUUUAUAAUUAAGUAUAUGUUUUUUGGAGGAAGUAUACAUGUAUUUUUUAAAAUUUUAUUUCAAUGUUUAUUGUUAGUAUAUAGACAUGUGAUGAUUUUUGUUGGUUGUAUAUUUUGUCCUGUUGGUUGUAUAUUUUGUCCUGUGUUCUUGGGUCUUGUGGCCUUGUUGUAAUCACUUAUUAGUUUCAGCUGAUUUUUUUUGUAACUUACUUAAGAUUUUCUACAUAAACAAUUAUGUCAUCUACAAAGACAGACAACAUCUUUUCAAUCCACUUGCUCUUUGUUUCCUUCUCUUGACUUACAACAGUAGAAAGAACUACCAGUAGUUCAUUAAAUAAAGUUCAUAUGAGUGGACAUAUUUGUCUUGUUUCUAACCUUGAGGUAUAGGGAGGAUUCAGGGUUUUGCCAUUACAAAUAAUUUUAGAUGCAGUUUUUUGGUUUCUGUUUUGCUCUGUUUUGUUUUGGGUAGGCACUCCAUAUUACAUUUAGGUAAUUCUCUAUUUCUAAUUGUUGACCUGUGUGUUGGAGUUUGACAAAAGGGUUUUGUUUUUAGUCAAUUUAUAUAAUCAUAGAAAUUUCCUUUAGUCUGUUGAUGUGGUAGAUUACACUGAUUAAUUUUCAAAUAUUGAACUGGACUUGCAUAACAAAAAUAAAUCUAACUUGAUCAUAGUUUAUAAUGAUGUGUAUACAUUAUUAAAUU